GACGAACGCUGGCGGCGUGCUUAACACAUGCAAGUCGAACGGUGAAGCGCCUUCCUUUUUGGUGGGUGUGGAUGAGUGGCGAACGGGUGAGUAACACGUGAGUAACCUGCCCCCUUCUUCUGGAUAACCGCAUGAAAGUGUGGCUAAUACGGGAUAUUCUGGGUCUGUCGCAUGAUGGGUCUGGGAAAGAUAUUGUUUCGGUGGGGGAUGGGCUCGCGGCCUAUCAGCUUGUUGGUGGGGUGAUGGCCUACCAAGGCGGUGACGGGUAGCCGGCCUGGGAGGGUGGCCGGUCACACUGGGACUGAGCCACGGCCCAGACUCCUACGGGAGGCAGCAGUGGGGAAUAUUGCACAAUGGGCGCAAGCCUGAUGCAGCGACGCCGCGUGAGGGAUGGAGGCCUUCGGGUUGUGAACCUCUUUCGCCAGUGAAGCAGGCCUGCCUCGUUUGUGGGUGGGUUGACGGUAGCUGGAUAAGAAGCGCCGGCUAACUACGUG
rnacentral:rRNA from 1 species